AUUCCUUAUCUUCUGGGUAGGAUGUCCCUUUCUGAUUUGGUUCAUAACAAUCUACAGGGAAAGAGUUGCCUUCAGACUCCUUUGCUCACCCCUUCUAACACCUCACACUCCUGACAAAUACUGUCAUCUCACGUUUCAGAGCCAGGAAGACAGUCUUGCCUCCUCCUGAGCUUUCCACCCCUGCUGCAGGGAGCUGGAGACAGCAACCACUAUUUUCUGCCUUCUUAUUCCCUCACCUAUGAUUUUCCGGGUUUCUAAGGGUUGUGACAGGGCGCUGGCCUGGGUCCAAGCCUAAUGAGAAUAGAAUGUAGGUCCACUUUAGGGAC
rnacentral:lncRNA from 1 species